UUCAUCAUGCGCGAGUACGUUGUUGUUGUUGAGUGGUUCUGAAAGCGCUGCGUUAGGCGCGACUGUAAUCAGGCGUUACGACAAGUUACGGUGGCAACUUCUUUCGAUGCUGUGUGAUUGCGACGAGGGGGACCGCCACCUGCAGCAGCGUGUCGCCGAUUUCGUCUUUGCCGACAUCGAGCAAGUGCAGCUCGCCGGACCGUCACAAGCGCCCGAAGUGUUGCGGUUUGCACUGCAUCUUUCAUUGUGAUAUGGGAGAUCGCAACAGACAGAGACGACCAGAUGCAUACGAAAAACUACCCGCGGGGAGUGACCUGUGCCGUAUUUCUCUUAACGUCUCAGGUACACUCUGGCGCCUCCAACCCUGCGUCUUACCACCACCCUGUCCUGACUACGUCCACUAGGGAGUUGGGAGCCUUUGGCGGCUUCUGCCACUGCAUCCUGCCACCACCAUGUCCCGACUACGUCCACUAGGGAGUUGGCAGCCUUAGUGAUGAUGCAAAGCAGGCUGACAGCCGACAAAGAUUCAGGUUGCCUCGAAAUUUUACCUGAGCCAUGCCACACACUCGGGCCAGGCAUCUUGCGAACGACGUAUAACCAGGCUCAGCGCAUCAGUGCCGAGUGAGUCCAGAGAUCAAGGCAACCUGCUGUGCAACCAGCGCGCAACACUUGGUUUCAUCUAUUUCACAGCUGUAUCUCAGCUCCCAUCUAUCCAAAGAGCAUCACCAGCUGUGGUCACUUAUUGAACCAUGGAUGAAUUUUGGGGUGGAGUGAUUUGAAUAUACAUUCUAUUUGUCUCUUCGCAUUCUUUGCAAAUACUUCUGUUAUUAUAAUUCAUAUGUGUCUUUAGUACCUAGUUUUUAAUAGUACCUUCCUCUUAGAAUUCUCACCAUCAACUCCUGCUAUUAUAAUGUAUACCUGUCUUUAUGCCCCAUUUCUCGUAGUUCUUUUGUACUUGUGGAUGUAAUUGAUAGGUUCUUAAUUCUUGUACAGAAGGCUAAAAUGCAAACUUACGGCAUUUUUUCUUCCUUUGAUAAUCUACAGCACUGCAAUGUGUUCAAGAAAUGUAACAUAACACGGGCUCUGGUGCAGGAUAAAUUUAAGAGCAAUAUAGA